GCAGAGAUUUCUCCUCGUACCUUUUGCAUCAUGAUUUAGCCAGUACCGUUAAGCAAAGAGCCCUUUAGUUUAACACCCCGAAACUAGCGUGAGCUACUCCAAGACAGCCUAUUACAGGGCAAACCCGUCUCUGUUGCAAAAGAGUGGGAAGAGCUUCGAGUAGAGGUGACAGACCUAUCGAACCUAGUUAUAGCUGGUUGCCUGUGAAACGGAUAAAAGUUCAGCCUCCUGGCUUCUCAAUAAACCAAGAGAGUUAAUCAAAGGGGGGACAGCUCCUUUGAUACAAGACACAACUUUUUUAAGAGGGUAAAGAUCAUAUUUUUAAAGGUAAAAUGUCUCAGUGGGCCUAAGAGCAGCCACCCAAAAGAAAGCGUUAAAGCUCAGACUUAAUAUCCUGAUAUCAGAAUCUUAUCCCCCUAGCCAUUAACAGGCCGUUCCAUGCCAACAUGGAAGUGAUAAUGCUAAAAUGAGUAAUAAGAGAGGACUCUCUCCAAGCACACGUGUACAUCGGAAAGGACCAACCACCGAAAAUUAACGUCCCCAAAAAAAGAGGGCAUUGGAUCUUUACAAGAAAAUAAUCCACCGUUAACCCUACACAGGUGUGCAUUUAAGGAAAGACUAAAAGAAAGAGAAGGAACUCGGCAAAGAAGCCUCGCCUGUUUACCAAAAACAUCGCCUCUUGCAAGAAUAAGAGGUCUUACCUGCCCAGUGACACUCGUUUAACGGCCGCGGUAUCCUAACCGUGCAAAGGUAGCGUAAUCAUUUGUCUUUUAAAUAGGGACUAGUAUGAAUGGUGUGACGAGGGCUUAACUGUCUCCUCUCUCCGGUCAAUGAAAUUGAUCUCCCCGUGCAGAAGCGGGGAUAAGCUCAUAAGACGAGAAGACCCUAUGGAGCUUUAGAUACUAAGGUAGACUAGAUUAAAUUACUUCACAACAAAGAACUAAAAUCAUCACCACCCUACCCCUAUAUCUUCGGUUGGGGCGACAAUGGGGAACAAAAAUCCCCCAUGCGGAACGGGAGCACUCCUCAAAUUAAGAGUGACAACUCUAAGUUACAGUACUUCUGACCACAAAUGAUCCGGCAAUGCCGAUUAACGAACCAAGUUACCCUAGGGAUAACAGCGCAAUCCCCUUUUAGAGCCCGCAUCAACAAGGGGGUUUACGACCUCGAUGUUGGAUCAGGACAUCCUAAUGGUGAAA
rnacentral:rRNA from 1 species